CUGUCUCGCCCUUACCCACAUCCC
rnacentral:miRNA from 1 species